ACGAACGCUGGCGGCGCGCCUAACACAUGCAAGUCGAACGAGAAGCUGUAGCAAUACAGUUGUACAGUGGCGAACGGGUGAGGAAUACAUGGGUGACCUACCCUCGAGUGGGGAAUAACCAGCCGAAAGGUUGGCUAAUACCGCGUACGUUUCCCAGUCCGCGGAUUGGGAAGGAAAGCGAUGCCGUGGGUAUCGCGCUCAAGGUUGGGCUCAUGUCCUAUCAGCUUGUUGGNGAGGUAACGGCUCACCAAGGCAACGACGGGUAGCUGGUCUGAGAGGACGAUCAGCCACACUGGCACUGCGACACGGGCCAGACUCCUACGGGAGGCAGCAGUGAGGAAUAUUGCGCAAUGGGCGAAAGCCUGACGCAGCGACGCCGC
rnacentral:rRNA from 1 species